rnacentral:rRNA from 1 species
GACGAACGCUGGCGGCGUGCUUAACACAUGCAAGUCGAACGGAAAGGCCCUGCUUUUGUGGGGUGCUCGAGUGGCGAACGGGUGAGUAACACGUGAGUAACCUGCCCUUGACUUUGGGAUAACUUCAGGAAACUGGGGCUAAUGCCGGAUAGGAGCUCCUGCUGCAUGGUGGGGGUUGGAAAGUUUCGGCGGUUGGGGAUGGACUCGCGGCUUAUCAGCUUGUUGGUGGGGUAGUGGCUUACCAAGGCUUUGACGGGUAGCCGGCCUGAGAGGGUGACCGGCCACAUUGGGACUGAGAUACGGCCCGGCCUCCUACGGGAGGCAGCAGUGGGGAAUAUUGCACAAUGGGCGGAAGCCUGAUGCAGCAACGCCGCGUGCGGGAUGACGGCCUUCGGGUUGUAAACCGCUUUCGCCUGUGACGAAGCGUGAGUGACGGUAAUGGGUAAAGAAGCACCGGCUAACUACGUG